rnacentral:rRNA from 1 species
UACAGAGGGGGCAAGCGUUGUUCGGAAUUACUGGGCGUAAAGGGCGCGUAGGCGGCCUUCUAAGUCGAACGUGAAAUCCCCGGGCUCAACCCGGGAACUGCGUCCGAGACUGGAAGGCUUGAAUCCGGGAGAGGGAUGUGGAAUUCCAGGUGUAGCGGUGAAAUGCGUAGAUAUCUGGAGGAACAUCGGUGCGAAGGACGGCGAUCCUGGACCGGUAUUGACGCUGAGGCGCGAAAGCCAGGGGAGCAAACGGG